GAUGAACGCUGGCGGCGUGCCUAAUACAUGCAAGUCGAGCGAAUGGAUUGAGAGCUUGCUCUUAUGAAGUUAGCGGCGGACGGGUGAGUAACACGUGGGUAACCUGCCCAUAAGACUGGGAUAACUCCGGGAAACCGGGGCUAAUACCGGAUAACAUUUUGAACCGCAUGGUUCGAAAUUGAAAGGCGGCUUCGGCUGUCACUUAUGGAUGGACCCGCGUCGCAUUAGCUAGUUGGUGAGGUAACGGCUCACCAAGGGAACGAUGCGUAGCCGACCUGAGAGGGUGAUCGGCCACACUGGGACUGAGACACGGCCAGACUCCUACGGGAGGCAGCAGUAGGGAAUCUUCCGCAAUGGACGAAAGUCUGACGGAGCAACGCCGCGUGAGUGAUGAAGGCUUUCGGGUCGUAAAACUCUGUUGUUAGGGAAGAACAAGUGCUAGUUGAAUAAGCUGGCACCUUGACGGUACCUAACCAGAAAGCCACGGCUAACUACGUGCCAGCCGCCGCCGUAA
rnacentral:rRNA from 1 species